UACGGAGGGUGCGAGCGUUAUCCGGAAUUACUGGGUUUAAAGGGUGCGUAGGCGGCUAUGUAAGUCAGGAGUGAAAGUUUGCGGCUCAACCGUAAAAUUGCUUUUGAUACUGCAUGGCUGGAAUUAGGAUGAGGUCAGCGGAAUGUGGCAUGUAGCGGUGAAAUGCAUAGAUAUGCCAUAGAACACCAAUUGCGAAGGCAGCUGGCUAGACCUGGAUUGACGCUGAGGCACGAAAGCGUGGGGAUCAAACAGG
rnacentral:rRNA from 1 species